UACGAAGGGGGCUAGCGUUGUUCGGAAUUACUGGGCGUAAAGCGCGCGCAGGCGGUCCUUUAAGUCAGGGGUGAAAGCCCAGAGCUCAACUCUGGAACUGCCUUUGAAACUAGAGGACUUGGGUACGGGAGAGGUGAGUGGAAUUCCUAGUGUAGAGGUGAAAUUCGUAGAUAUUAGGAAGAAACACCAGUGGCGAAGGCGGCUCACUGGUCCGGUACUGGACGCUGAGG
rnacentral:rRNA from 1 species